rnacentral:rRNA from 1 species
UAGUUGAAGUAGGCGGAAUAUAGCAUGUAGCGGUGAAAUGCAUAGAUAUGCUAUAGAACACCAAUUGCGAAGGCAGCUUGCUAAACUAUAACUGACGCUGAGGCACGAAAGCGUGGGGAGCGAACAGGAUUAGAUACCCUGGUAGUACACGCCGUAAACUAUGAACACUCGCUGUUGGCAAUACACAGUCAGCGGCUGAGCGAAAGCGUUAAGUGUUCCACCUGGGAAGUACGAUCGCAAGGUUGAUACUCAAAGGAAUUGACGGGGGCCCGCACAAGCGGAGGAGCAUGUGGUAUAAUUCGAUGAUACGCGAGGAACCCUACCUGGGCUUAAAUGUAUAUUGACGUACUGAGAAAUCAGUAUUUCUUCGGACAAUUUACAAGGUGCUGCAUGGUCGUCGUCAGCUCGUGCCGUGAGGUGUCGGGUUAAGUCCCAUAACGAGCGCAACCCCUAGUUCUAGUUACCAGCAUUUCGGAUGGGGACUCUAGAGGAACUGCCUACGCAAGUAGAGAGGAAGGUGGGGAUGACGUCAAAUCAGCACGGCCCUUAUGUCCAGGGCUACACACGUGCUACAAUGGCCGGUACAGAGGGCAGCUACAUAGCAAUAUGAUGCUAAUCUCAAAAGCCGGUCUCAGUCCGGAUUGGAGUCUGCAACUCGACUCCAUGAAGCUGGAUUCGCUAGUAAUCGCACAUCAGCAAUGGUGCGGUGAUACGUUCCCGGGCCUUGUACACACCGCCCGUCAAGCCAUGGAAGUUGGGGGUACCUGAAGUCGAUUGCCGUAAGGCGUUGCCUAGGGUAAACCAA